AGCAGCGUGGCGCAGCGGAAGCGUGCUGGGCCCAUAACCCAGAGGUCCCUGGAUCGAAACAGGCGCUGCUA
rnacentral:tRNA from 1 species